GACGAACGCUGGCGGCGUGCCUAAUACAUGCAAGUCGAACGCAGUGGGGACGGGUGAGUAACACGUGGGUAACCUCCCAUCAGAGGGGAUAACACUUGGAAACAGGUGCUAAACCGAUACUGAUGGAUGGACCCGGGGUGCAUUAGCUAGUUGGUGAGGUAACGGCGCACCAGGGCCACGAUGCAUAGCUGACCGGAGAGGGUGAUCGGCAACACUGGGACUGAUAAACGGCCCAGACUCCUACGGGAGGCAGAAGUGGGGAAUCUUGGGCAAUGGGCGAAAGUCGGACCGAGCAACGCCGCGUGAGUGAAGAAGGUUUUCGGAUCGGAAAACUCUGUGGUUAGAGAGGCGGUAUCUAACCAGAAAGCCACGGCUAACUACGUGCCAGCCGCCGCGGUAAUAC
rnacentral:rRNA from 1 species